rnacentral:tRNA from 1 species
GCCCAGGUGGCGGAAUUGGUAGACGCGCUGGCUUGAGGGGCCAGUGGCCGAAAGGCCAUGCUGGUUCAAAUCCAGUCCUGGGCACCA